rnacentral:rRNA from 1 species
GACGAACGCUGGCGGCGUGCUUAACACAUGCAAGUCGAACGGAAAGGCCCUGCUUUUGUGGGGUGCUCGAGUGGCGAACGGGUGAGUAACACGUGAGUAACCUGCCCUUGACUUUGGGAUAACUUCAGGAAACUGGGGCUAAUACCGGAUAGGAGCUCCUGCUGCAUGGUGGGGGUUGGAAAGUUUCGGCGGUUGGGGAUGGACUCGCGGCUUAUCAGCUUGUUGGUGGGGUAGUGGCUUACCAAGGCUUUGACGGGUAGCCGGCCUGGGAGGGUGACCGGCCACAUUGGGACUGAGAUACGGCCCAGUCUCCUACGGGAGGCAGCAGUGGGGAAUAUUGCACAAUGGGCGGAAGCCUGAUGCAGCAACGCCGCGGGCGGGAUGACGGCCUUCGGGUUGUAAACCGCUUUCGCCUGUGACGAAGCGUGAGUGACGGUAAUGGGUAAAGAAGCACCGGCUAACUACGUG